rnacentral:misc_RNA from 1 species
CCACCCGCCCCGCUCCAUGGCCACCUCCCGCGACAGUACCCCCCUUUUCUUUCCCUUUCCUCUUAUUAUUACCACGACAAAACUACUCCUACAAACGUGUGCGCAACGCCAUCAUAUAUAUAUAUAUAUAUAUAUAUAUAGUUUCACAGAGAGCAGGAGCCGACCGACGUGACAGACCCAAACACUUCUUUCUCUCCCUUCCUCUUUCUCUCUCUUAGGAUGCACCGACGCAUGUGCUGAUGGGGGCGUCUCUCUCUCUCUUUUGCCUUCGGUGCGUGUGGGCGUGUGCGCGUGCCAAAGUGCGUGCGGAGCGGCUCGCACGGCGGAUCUAUCUGAACCCGUUUUUUUUUGUUCUUCGUUGGUUGUAUCCCUUUUCGAAAUGAAACACGUCGAAGCGUUAAUGGGGGCGCCCUGUUCCCCCCCCCCUCUCACCUCCCCCUUCGCUCCCUCACACGUAAAAAAUGCACGUAUCCAAGACAUGCGUCACGCAGGCCAUGGCCAUUGCAUAAAGCGACGAAGCUGGUGGUUUUGACGGUUGCCUGUCGUGGUGGUGGUUCAAUGCAACAGAAUGAAAAACGAUGAGGGAAGCAGGAGGAGGGAAGAGCGCUAGAGGACACGCCGCGGCGUUCGAGGGGAGGGGGAGGGCGAUUCGUGUAUCCGCCACCCACGCCGCCGUUUUUGUUUUCUCGUGACUCUCCCUCUCUCCUGUCGUUUCGGUCUCUGUCCGGGAGGACGCAAGACAUGAGGGCACGCAGGUGUGGGCGUAUUCACGCACGAACACGCGCCCCCUCUUCCCCCCCCCCCCCCCCCCCCCCCCCCCCCACACACACACACACGCGUUUGCUUGUAACACCAACGGAUGUACGGGCUAUCGCCAAGCGGCGACCGGCCUCAGCGCGGUGAUGCUAAGCGGCUGAGAAAUGAGACAAUCGUUGGAGGAGAAGAGGGCGCAGGGACACCUGCAGCUCUGCUGCUCCCUCCUCCCUGCCCUUUUACUGGACUGUACUCGCCUCUCCCGCUGACUUUCUUCUGUUCUCUUUUUCCGUGCCCGUUGACGGACUUGCGCGCAUCUUCAACGGACUUCAUGUGCGUGUGUGCCUGUGCGUGCCAACGACACCUGUGUUUAUGUCGCUGUGCUUGCGCGUCUUGUCUAUAUCUGCGUCGUGGUAG